ensembl:lncRNA
UCAGAUCUUGAUAUUAGAAUUUUAUCUGUUUUUAUUAUCUCUUUUUCCCCAACCUCUCCUUGCCAAUUCUUCUACCUUGGGGUGUUUGCGGUCCCAUUUAUAAGUAAGAUAUGCCCAAAAACAAGAAGAAAAAAGCCAGAACUGAGGCCAGUGUUCCAACUGAGCCCCAACCUGAACCUAAACUUGGACAUAUACCUAACCCUGCACCUGAACUGGGACUUGAACCCACAUGUGUGCCUAAAUCUGCAUCUACAUCUACAGCUACACCUGAACCUGAACCCAGAGAUCUGCCUAAAUCUUCACCCAAAUCUGGACCUGAACCAUCCCGUGUGUCUAAGCGUCCACCUGAACCUAAGGAUCUGCCUAAAUCUCCAUCCAAAUCUGGACCUGAACCCUCACGUGUGUCUAAGCGUCCACCUGAACCUAAGGAUCUGCCUAAAUCUCCAUCCAAAUCUGGACCUGAACCCUCAUGUGUGCCUAAGCGUCCACCUGAACCUAAGGAUCUGCCUAAAUCUGCACCCGAAUCUGGACGUGAAACUAGACAAGGAAAAGAAGACAAUGAAGGACCUAGCACUUCCCCCACCGAAUUGCCACAGAGAAAUCGUGUUCCUGUCCAAAAUGCUCAUGACACAGAGGACUCCAGAUUUCCCUCACAGUCCCACAAUUAUGGGAUCCCAGAACAUCAGGACAUCCCACCAAAAGCUACAUGCAAAAUUCCUCCAGCAGCUUGUCGAGGGUUGGAUUUAAAGAACUUGGGUCAAGCUGUUGCACAAUAUGCUUCAUACUCCUCUGACUCUGUACUAGAUCCUUGUCGUUUCUCCCAAGCACCACCACAGGUCAAAACACAGAAGCCAAGAACCAAUCCAAAUUCAAAGGUUUCUGAGGCUUUGUGCAGUUACUGUUUGAAGGUUCACCCGAGGCCAGGAAAAAGUACUUCUAAGAAGGAAGAGAGCCAUCCCCCUAUAACUUCAACUGAAACUCAAGUGCCAGCCAGACCUCCAAGUCCAAAACUGUGUCUACCUGGACAAGAGGACACGAGGUCAGUGACAGCCCUUAAGAAGGCUAUAGAAAGCUGCAAAACCUAUCUGGAUUACCUUGUAGAACAGCAAACUUGGGCAAUUCAAUUGGUCUUGGUGCUCACGAAGUCAGAGAAAGGCAUUCCUGACGAUGAAGAUAUACAGAGGAUGUUGCAGGUUGACCCAGCAGAACUCAUUCUUGGCCAUAUCUUAGACAAAAAUGAUUAUGGAGCUGCAACAGCAGCAGCAACAUCGAUAGAAACAGCAACAACAGGGGCAUCAACAUCAGCAGAAACAGCUGCAACAGUGGUGGUAGCAGCAGCAACAGAAACAGCUACGACAAUGGCAGCAGCAGAAGUGACAGUAGCGACAGUGGCAGCAGAAACAGCUACAGUAAUGGCAAUAUCAUCUGCAAUAACAGAUGUAGAUGAAGCAGCAGGGGCAGAUGCAGCAGGGGCAGAGGCAGCAGAUGAUGAGGCAGCAGGGGCAGAGGCAGCAGGGCAGGGCAGGCAGAUGAUGCAGCAGGGGCAGAGGCAGCAGAUGAUGAGGCAGCAGGGGCAGAGGCAGCAGAUGAUGAGGCAGCAGGGGCAGAGGCAGCAGAUGAUGAGGCAGCAGGGGCAGAGGCAGCAGAUGAUGAGGCAGCAGGGGCAGAGGCAGCAGAUGAUGAGGCAGCAGGGGCAGAGGCAGCAGAUGAUGAGGCAGCAGGGGCAGAGGCAGCAGAUGAUGAGGCAGCAGGGGCAGAGGCAGCAGAUGAUGAGGCAGCAGAUGAUGAAGCUGCAGCGGCAGCCGCAGCAGUGGCAGCAGAAGCAGUAGCAACAGCUAGAAUAGUGGCAGCAGAAAGAGCUGUAACAGUGGCAGCAGCACAAGCACUAAUGAAAGAAGCAGAAGCAAGAAUAAAAGCACUAGCAAGAGCAGUAGCAGCAGAUGAUGAAGUUCUCUUUAGAAGACAGACAGACCCUGAAAACCCAGAUAUUACCUGUUCUACAGUAGGGAUUAGAAUUUUUUGGCUUUCUCUGGAGUACAUGGCCCCCGAUUCCGCAGUGAAUUAUGCACUAUAUCUUACUCAAGAAUGCAACCCCUGUACCUUCCAAGAGACUGUGGAAAUAUUUAAAAAGAUGGUGAAAUCUAUCAUAAAAGAGAGAGUUUACUUAAAACUCUUUUCAAAUAUCCAAAUGGCUGACAAAGAAGAUGAGACUGGAAUGCCUCCCCAGUCCGAUCAACCAGAUGAUCACAGUUGACUAUAGUCAGAAUGAGAGAGACCAAGUGCAGCCCAGAUGCUCUCUUAUCAGGAAAUCCGGAUACCAACGGUCAAAUCCAGAAAGUGAUUACAAUCUUAAUGAAUUUUGCAGAAUAUUUGGAAGAUGACUUAUUUUUUCCAGGCCAGUAGACAUUUUAGAGUAGGUAGGACCUGGCAGUUGAGAGCAGUCCCAAGUAUCCAGAAGUAUCUAUAAGAAGCCUGACUCCUACUAGGGUAGUGAUUGUAGCAGAUCCAACAUUAAUACUAGUUUAGUUAAGGAGGGUGUGCAGGUUCCAGUACCUGUUGAAGGGGAUGAGACCUAAUCUUUAGCAUAUGGAGCAAUUACAUUCAAGUUACUCUUGGACAAGGGGAGGGAGUGGACUUUAGUAUACAGUCUCAGCCAUGAUUAAUUAAAGCUGUGCUGUAUGUAGCUUGUUUUUAACAAUUAUAUGAAUGUCAAAGGUGAACUUUAAUAAAGAUCCAAGUCUUUGUUUUUAA